AGCAAUACAUGAGUAAAGCGGCGCACGGGUGAGUAACACGUGGGUAAUCUGCCCUCGAGUGGGGAAUAACACCGGGAAACCGGUGCUAAUACCGCAUACGAUCACGGAGUCUUCGGAUUUUGUGAUGAAAGGAGCAAUUCGCUCUUGGAGGAGCCCGCGGCUGAUUAGCUAGUUGGUGAGGUAACGGCCCACCAAGGCGACGAUCAGUAUCCGGCCUGAGAGGGCGGACGGACACACUGGGACUGAGACACGGCCCAGACUCCUACGGGAGGCAGCAGUGGGGAAUUGUUCACAAUGGGCGCAAGCCUGAUGACGCAACGCCGCGUGGAGGAUGAAGGUCUUCGGAUUGUAAACUCCUGUUGCCCGGGACGAAAAGCUCUGACCUAACACGUCGGAGUCUGACGGUACCGGGUGAGGAAGCCCCGGCUAACUCUGUGCCAGCAGCCGCGGUAAUACAGAGGGGGCAAGCGUUGUUCGGAAUUACUGGGCGUAAAGGGCGCGUAGGCGGCCUUCUAAGUCGAACGUGAAAUCCCUGGGCUCAACCCAGGAACUGCGUCCGAUACUGGAAGGCUUGAAUCCGGGAGAGGGAUGCGGAAUUCCAGGUGUAGCGGUGAAAUGCGUAGAUAUCUGGAGGAACACCGGUGGCGAAGGCGGCAUCCUGGACCGGUAUUGACGCUGAGGCGCGAAAGCCAGGGGAGCAAACGGGAUUAGAUACCCCGGUAGUCCUGGCCCUAAACGAUGAAUGCUUGGUGUGGCGGGUAUCGAUCCCUGCCGUGCCGAAGCUAACGCAUUAAGCAUUCCGCCUGGGGAGUACGGUCGCAAGGCUG
rnacentral:rRNA from 1 species